rnacentral:rRNA from 1 species
GACGAACGCUGGCGGCGUGCCUAACACAUGCAAGUCGAACGGAACUGUUUUGAAAGAUUUCUUCGGAAUGAAUUUGAUUUAGUUUAGUGGCGGACGGGUGAGUAACGCGUGAGUAACCUGCCUUCAAGAGGGGAAUAACAUUCUGAAAAGAAUGCUAAUACCGCAUGACAUAUCGGAACCACAUGGUUUUGAUAUCAAAGAUUUUAUCGCUUGAAGAUGGACUCGCGUCCGAUUAGUUAGUUGGUGAGGUAACGGCUCACCAAGACCGCGAUCGGUAGCCGGACUGAGAGGUUGAACGGCCACAUUGGGACUGAGACACGGCCCAGACUCCUACGGGAGGCAGCAGUGGGGGAUAUUGCGCAAUGGGGGCAACCCUGACGCAGCAACGCCGCGUGAAGGAUGAAGGUUUUCGGAUUGUAAACUUCUUUUAUUAAGGACGAAAAAUGACGGUACUUAAUGAAUAAGCUCCGGCUAACUACGU